ensembl:lncRNA
UUGCCGUUUCAGAGCACUUUAUUGUUCAUUGACUUAAGUACAAAAACUUUUUCAAUUGGAGAAACAAGGCCACAAAAUUAAGGUUUAAUAAAGAUUUUACAGUUUGGAGAGUACAAUACAUAGUACUACAGUACUACUACAUAGUACUACAGUACUACUACAUAGUACUACUACAUAGUAGUACUACAGUACUACAGUACUACUACAUAGUACUACAACAUAGUACUAGGUUUUACAAUGUUGAUGCAGCUUGAAAGUUGUGUGUGUCAGUGGGACCCGAUUCCCAUAAUGCAUUACCUUUGUCAGGGAAUACAGUUGAAGUCAGAAUUUAACAUACACUUAGGUUGGAGUCAUUCAAACUCAUUUUUCAACCACUACACAAAUGUCUUGUUAACAAAUUAGUUUUGGCAAGUUGGUUAGGACAUCUAGUGUGUGCAUGACACAAGUCAUUUUUCCAACUAUCUGUUUUAGAUUAUCUCACUUAUAAUUCACUGUAUCACAAUUCCAGUUGGUCAGAAGUUUACAUACACUAAGUUGACUGUGCCUUUAAACAGAUUGGAAAAUUCUAGAAAAUGUCAUGGCUUUAGAAGCUUCUGAUAGGCUAAUUGACAUAAUUUGAGUCAAUUGGAGGUGUACCUGUGGAUGUAUUUCAAGGCCUACCUUCAAACUCAGUGCCUCUUCGCUUGACAUCAUGGGAAAAUCAAAAGAAAUCAACCAAGACCUCAGAAUGUGUUUUUACGUACUUUGAUGAGAAAAGUGCAAAUCAAUCCCAGAACAACAGCAAAGGACAUUGUAAAGUUGCUGGAGGAAACAGGUACAAAAGUAUCUACAUCCACAGUAAAACGAGUACUAUAUCGACAUAACCUGAAAGGCCACUCAGCAAGGAAGAAGCCACUGCUCCUAAACCGCCAUAAAAAAGCCAGACUACGGUUUGCAACUACAUAUGGGGACAUAGAUGGUACUUUUUGGAGAAAUGUCCUCUGCUCUGAUGAAACAAAUGGAACUGUUUGGCCAUAAUGACCAUCGUUAUGUUUGGAGGAAAAAAGGGGGAUGCUUGCAAGCCGAAGAACACCAUCCCAACCGUGAAGCACGGGGGUGGCAGCACCAUGUUGUGGGGGUGCUUUGCUGCAGGAGGGACUGGUUCACUUCACAAAAUAGAUGGCAUCAUGAGGGGGGAAAAUUAUGUGGAUAUAUUGAAGCAACAUCUCAAGACAUAAGACUUAACUGACCGGGGAAUUUUUUACGAGGAUUAAAUUUCAGAAAUUGUGGAAAAACUGAGUUUAAAUAUAUUUGGCUAAGGUGUAUGUAAACUUUUGACUUCAACGGUAUAUUCCCUGUAUAGUGCACUACUUUUGAGAGAAGGGUGCUACUUAGGACACAGCUGUUGAUUUAGAAGCACACAGCCAGUCUUCCUGUGAUCUACCAUUAAAUAACAUGACUAAUACAGUAGUGUUCGGAUCUCACAAACAAGAUGGACGACAAAGAUAGUCUCAAAAAAAAAAUCACUGUCCCGAAUGACCCCCCAAUUCCCUAUUUAGUGCACUACUUUUGUCCUCUGGUAGUGUACUAUAAAGGGAAGAGACUGUCAUUUGGGAUAUACCUUUUGUAGAGUAUCUGCUGAGUAGCCUUGAUUCAGCAUUAUACACAUUAUGCGUCAUAAUACACAAGUGGCUAUCAUCAACGCAGUGUUUAUAUUAUUACUGUGUUCCUGCACUUUAACCUUUUAAAAGAACAACUCUAAAAACAAAAAAAAAGAUCAACUUUUUAAAACAUUUAUUUUAUACACAAACAAAAAAAAGGGGGAAAAUUAAAUAGCUACAUGUCAUUAAACAAAUUGAUCCUCAAAAAAUACCUACAAUUUUCUCUGUACAAUCGUUACGCACAGCGUAAUGAUGGUCUCAUAAUUAACUAUAUAUAAAAAGUUGUUUUUUUAUUAAGUGAUUUUCCUACAGCGUGUAGGGCAUUGUGUUGCCAUAGCAGAAUGAGUGAGAGCCUCCAAAUGUUUUUGAAAAAUUCUGGUAGCUUUCCAAAAAAAUAAUAAUUCCCAGGUCACCGGAAAUGUGCGACCCUAGUGACGCGUUUUUAUAACGAAAUGACCUCUGGACACUACACCUCUUCCCUUUCUGUUCAUGCACAUUAUAAUUGAUCAUUCUUUUAAAGGACAUUAUCAACGUUUUAGUUCUCUCAUAACAUUUACCGAAAGUACAAUGUGAAAAUCAACCAGUCAUCUUUGAAGAACUAUACAUUAGUUUUUGUUUAAAUCUGAACUCAGAUUAAAGUCAAUAAUAAUAACAUCAACUGACUAGCAGCUGGAUCAGCUCUGAGAGAAUAUGGUUUAGUUUCAGCUGGAUCCGGUCUCUGAGAAAAUAUGGUUUAGGUUCAGCUGGAUCCGGUCUCUGAGAGAAUAUGGUUUAGUUUCAGCUGGAUCCGGUCUCUGAGAGAAUAUGGUUUAGGUUCAGCUGGAUCCAGUCUCUGAGAGAAUAUGGUUUAGGUUCAGCUGGAUCCGGUCUCUGAGAGAAUAUGGUUUAGGUUCAGCUGGAUCCGGUCUCAGAGAGAAUAUGGUUUAGGCUCCGUCCCUAAUGACAUCCCUAAUCGUUAUGCACUAAAUGUGGCCAGACAAAGUGUGAAGCUUUACAUUGGGAAUAGGGUUCCAUGUAGGACGUGUAGCCUUGGUGUAGUUACAGGAACUAUAGAUUUGACUUGGGAUGAUGGAAUGUAAGGGCAUAUAAGAGCUGUAUAGACAGUGCUUCAUCAACCCUUAAGCUUUAACCAUGUUCUGUCACCUUCACCACUAGAUUUGCACCUUACGGUUACAUCCCCCAAAAUUCUCAGGUUUUCUAUCAAUUCUGGUUGUUUGGAAGAUUUGUGGAUUUUCCAACCAGGAUUUUCCGGAAAAAAAUCAAGGAAUUUUCAGGGAAUGUUUCCGGAAUGUUGCAACACUAAAUCACCACCUUUCUGUUACUAAGUUAGUAGCUAUACUAAUACUGAUAUGAAUGCAACACCUGUCCUAGGUUCCCUAUAGGAAGGAAUGUCUGCUGCCUUGGUACAGGAGUUAGUAAAACAAGUUCGUUUCACAAGCUGCAGCUGCCUAUCUACCCAGUGAGCAAAAUAGUUUGAAAGACUUAUUUUCAACAUCUUGUGCUCAUAAGAUGCAUUCCGCUACACACCCACAGUUGUUCAUCAGAGAAGUAGAAACAACAACGACAUGAAAAACACAACAUUUAAAAAAAAACUAGUGGACAGAAAGAAAAAGAAGGUUCUGAUAAAAGGUCGACUCUGGGUCGAUCUCGCCGGCUGGUUUGUUGCGUUAAUUCCAUUUUCAGUCAUGCAGAACAAAAAACGCAGUAGCAUCCAGGGAUUAUCAAUAACGCUAUAGAACGAUUACGGUAACGUUACAGAAAACAUAUUAUUGUUAUAGAUUAGAAUCUAAACUGAUCAUAUAGAAGAGUACAGAAGGCCUGUCCGGAGGCUGUCCUCUGUGUCGCUAGCUGGUUGCUACCAGAGAGAACUGAAGAAUACUACAUAUUAACAUGGAGUCUAACUGGACCAGCAGUAAAUGCAGCUACAACGGAUGUUGUUAUUGCAGAAAACAAAUAUAUAAAACAAAAACAAUGUAACUUGUAAUAAGAUUGAAAUGUCUAAUAAACAUGAAUAGAUACCAGCUAUUUAAAAACAAAAUAUCCACCUUAUUCUGUAAGCACUACUUUUACUUGACCAAUUAAACCAGAGAGCAAAAUUCUACCUACCACACCACAGUGCCGCAGAGAGAAACAUAAUCUACCUACCACACCACAGUGCCGCAGAGAGAGACAUAAUCUACCUCUACCUACCACACCACAGUGCCGCAGAGAGACAUAAUCUACCUACCACACCACAGUGCCGCAGAGAGACAUAAUCUACCUCUACCUACCACACCACAGUGCUGCAGAGAGAAACAUAAUC